GACGAACGCUGGCGGCGUGCCUAAUACAUGCAAGUCGAGCGCAGGAAGUCAUCCGAACCCUUCGGGGGGACGUUGACGGAAUGAGCGGCGGACGGGUGAGUAACACGUAAAGAACCUGCCCUCAGGUCUGGGAUAACCACGAGAAAUCGGGGCUAAUACCGGAUGGGUCAUCGGACCGCAUGGUCCGAGGAUGAAAGGCGCUCCGGCGUCGCCUGGCGAUGGCUUUGCGGUGCAUUAGCUAGUUGGUGGGGUAAUGGCCCACCAAGGCGACGAUGCAUAGCCGACCUGAGAGGGUGAUCGGCCACACUGGGACUGAGACACGGCCCAGACUCCUACGGGAGGCAGCAGUAGGGAAUCUUCCACAAUGGACGAAAGUCUGAUGGAGCAACGCCGCGUGAACGAUGAAGGCCCUCGGGUCGUAAAGUUCUGUUGUAAGGGAAGAACAAGUGCCGCAGGCAAUGGCGGCACCUUGACGGUACCUUGCGAGAAAGCCACGGCUAACUACGUG
rnacentral:rRNA from 1 species